GGCUUUUUCUUCGUCGGGAACUCUAUCUCUCACAAAGCUAAAAGCUACAAAUUUUCUUUCAAUUAUUGAUGGAGGCGGUGGCGUCAGGGUCAGUUGUUCCGGCGAACAGGAGGAGGCCGCCAAUGGAGGAGGACAGGUUAGUUUUCGAGACAUCCAAAGGUGUUGAACCAAUCACCAGUUUCGCUGAGAUGGGGAUUAAAGAUGACCUUCUUAGAGGGAUUUACCAAUACGGAUUUGAAAAACCAUCUGCUAUCCAACAACGGGCUGUCUUGCCCAUUAUAUCCGGCCGUGACGUCAUUGCACAGGCACAAUCCGGUACCGGAAAAACCUCCAUGAUUGCCCUUACCGUUUGCCAAGUUGUCGAUACCAAAAAUUCCGAGGUACAAGCAUUGAUAUUGUCUCCUACACGGGAGCUUGCAGCUCAGACAGAAAAGGUGAUUUUGGCUAUUGGAGAUUACAUUAACAUACAGGCACAUGCAUGUAUUGGAGGCAAAAGUGUGGGUGAAGAUAUCAGAAAGCUAGAGCAUGGAGUACAAGUUGUCUCUGGAACUCCUGGAAGAGUCUGUGACAUGAUCAAGAGAAGGACAUUGCGUACCAGAGCCAUUAAGUUAUUGGUUCUGGAUGAGUCUGAUGAAAUGCUGAGCAGAGGGUUUAAAGACCAAAUUUAUGAUGUAUAUCGAUAUCUCCCACCAGAACUUCAGGUUGUCUUGAUUUCUGCU
rnacentral:misc_RNA from 1 species